CAACUUUCAAGUUCCAGUCAUGUUCUGGUCCUUUGGUUCUGGAUCUUUGGUUCUGUGGUCAUUUUAGGUCAAGACUUCUUCUUUUGCUCCUGCUCUAGCUAUGUAACUUUUGCAUUUUCUGGAACACCAUUCUUAAUCACUCUGUUAAUAAGAGAUGGGGUCAGUUGAACCGGUCCAGGAGGGCCUGCAGUUACACUGUUAACAUUGAUUAUUCCUUGAAUAGUCAAGUUAGGGGAAGUGAUUUCUGCAGUAGGUGACUUGACACUGGUGCACAUAAAAGCUCAUGACAGGGACACAUCUUGCUGGUAUUUACUGUUUGUUAGAUUCCCUGCCAGCUGAUGUUAAAGCGUACAAGACAUUGGACCAGCCCUUCAGGAGAAAAUUCGACUCACGCAAAGGAGGAAAAAUGGCAAUGCAAGAAAAGUUUGAAGAGGCUUCACAGAGGUGAUAACCACUGAACUGAGUCUUGACAGAAGAUAGGCUGCACUCAGGCGAGGGCGCGGGGGGUUGUGGAUGAGAGAGGACUUUCCAGGGAUGGUUAUGUAGAGAGCUAAUAAGGGGUGAUAAUAAACUGG
rnacentral:lncRNA from 1 species